UACAGGGGGGGCAAGCGUUGUUCGGAAUUACUGGGCGUAAAGGGCGCGUAGGCGGCCUGCUAAGUCGAACGUGAAAUCCCUGGGCUCAACCCAGGAACUGCGUCCGAUACUGGUUGGCUUGAAUCCGGGAGAGGGACGUGGAAUUCCAGGUGUAGCGGUGAAAUGCGUAGAUAUCUGGAGGAACACCGGUGGCGAAGGCGACGUCCUGGACCGGCAUUGACGCUGAGGCGCGAAAGCCAGGGGAGCAAACGGG
rnacentral:rRNA from 1 species